CAUCUGCAUAAGUCGCAGCUUAAUAUUACUGGGCGCUCUCUCUUUGGGCUUCAUGUAGAACAACUCAUUAUCAUUAUAGUAUUGUUUGCUAUAGCCAACUUUGCAGCAAUAUCGGCACUUUUUAGACUAUGACAUUUGCCUAAAGCUAAAGACUCUUAUAAUAUUGUACUUACAUUGCAGCUGUUCGAGUGGCUGGAGCCAUGCAACAGGAAGUGACCGCGAAGCGUGGAGAAUUGGACGCCUUACAAAACAAAAUCCAUUGGUUGACAGAAAGCCUAAAUACAGCUUCCAAGGACGCACGCUAUUACGAGAGG